CAGAAGGAUCGAGGGAGAUAGAGAGAGCGAGAGCUGGGAGCUCUGACCCGGGACGCAGCGCGACCCGGCCGGAACUUUCACUUCCGGCCACCCCACGACGGCUCGCGGGCACCCAUGUCUUUGUCUCUCUGUCGCCUACCUCCCUGUAGCCUCUGAUCAUCCAUGCACUGAACGGAGAAGGAGAUUCGACGACUGGAAGCUCCGGGACCUCUUCGGCGAGCUCUCAAUUCCCGGCGAUUCCGACCACCAUUUUGGCUACCUAUGGCAGCCGUGUUCUUGGACACCGGCGACUUCUCCGACGCGUCAGGGUGCCCUCAACUCAUUCUCCGACGGUCAUCAUCGUCCUGGAACCCGAAAACGUGGAAGGUUGAGCUGAAAUAGGUGGUCGGGCUACGUUGACAGUGUCGGAGUUCGUCAAAUUCGAAAACUGACGAGAAAGAAGGAUCAACUCACCGUCGAGUUUCAAUUAGGAAGCCGCUGCAAGGAAGUUUGAAUUCCAGUGGGUAAACUAGACAGAACGAAGGUAAAUUCGAUGGUUCUGUCAAAUUUGUUAAUCCCUGAAAGUUGAGAAAUUGUGCGGGCUAUCCGAUGUUGUUUGCAUGUGCAGAGUGGGUUGGUUGUAACUUGAUUUGAAUUGAUGAGGUUGUGUAGUUUGGUGAUUUAAAUUUGUUCUGGUUUUGCAAGUUAUUGCUUUGUUGGUGUUGCUAAGGCAGGUUAUUUGAAAUGAUUGUGGAAUAAUUGAAAAAUGGUCAAGCUUGGGUGUCCUUGGUAGUUUUGGACCACCUUGUGUAGAAAUUGGAAAGCUCGGGUGUCCAUAGUAAUUCUAUCGGAAUUGCUACACGACGGAACUUGAAAUAGAAGUAAGGUUGAGUGUUGAACAAAUUGAGAUAAAUCGUUGACGAAAUUGGAAACAUGAUCUUUGCUUGUACAUAUGUUAGAUUGAUUGUAAGUAAAGAAGGGCGGCCUUAGUAAAUUGGGUGCACUCAACAUAUAUAUAUUUGGUCAAACGUGGUCAAAUUGGUCAAUGUUGGUCAAAAUGGUCAAUUCUGGUCAAAUCAAGGAAGGGUAGGCAAACCUCGGUCAACUCUUAGUCAAACCAUGAAAGGUUGGUUUGGACGAUUUAUUAGUCGUCGAAAUUUUAUUUAGUUGUUCAAUGAGAUAUUAACAAUCGAAAUGUUGGAAUCUAGGACUCCAGUUACCUGAGGAACGGAAGGUUCAUGACUCUAGGAAUACGUGAGAGAAAGCAUCAGAAUCCAGAUAGGAAUUCAGGACUCUCCUCAGUUAGAUGUUUUCUUAUAUAUUGUGUUAAAAUGAUGCAUGAUUGGUGUUAUGGUUUGGUUAUGUUAAAAUGCAAUUCACACUAACCAAAUUGUGAGAAAUGUGAUGGCUUGAGAGCGAAAGGGGCACUGACUUCCUUGGUUUCGAUUCCCUAAACCUUCGGAGGGUUAGCUAUGCCGGUUGUCCGAGUAUCCGCAAUCACGGACUCUGUACGUGUGUGUAGCUAGGUAGUGGGCGCUCUCACUAUGCUUACCUGGUGAUAAAUUAAUUUGAGGUAAGGUCGUGUAGUGAGUCUAUGAGAUAGGCCAUCAGGUAAUGCUUGGAUUUGGCGCCGUAUUUAAGCAUCAUGCAUCGCUUUUCAAGUUGAAAAACAUUAAAGUUUGUUGUUCCUUUAAAUAUGUGGUUUAAGCAUGUUUUUGGGUGUGUAGAAUAAGUUCGGUAAACUCUUGUUUGGAGUAUGUGCUAAAUCUUAUUUCUCAUACUUCGUGUUUAAGAACUUAUUGCUAUUUGGUCUCGAGUCAAAUUGAGUUGAAUUCUUCUUCAUUGGGAUU